rnacentral:lncRNA from 1 species
ACUUUGUAACUAAAACAGGGGUGUGUUUUUUUUCACAUGUCGCACCGUAUCUCAAAAACGUUUCUUGAUUAUUGCUUAAAACUUUACACACUUCUUAGUUAUAUUAAUCUUAAUAUCUGUAUACUUUUUGGUGAUGAUUCAAAAUUUCAUUUUUGAGUUUUUGAGUAUUUUGUAAAAAAGGGGGAGGGUUAUUUUACAUGUCGCGCUGUAUCUCAAAAACGAUUUAUGAUUAUUGCUUAAAACUUUACACACUUCUUUUUUAUAUUAAUCUAAAGAUCAGUAUACUUUUUGGUGAUGAUUCAAAAUUUCAUUUUUGAGUUAUUGAGUAUUUUGUAAAAAAGGGGGAGGUUUUUUUUACAUGUUGUGCCGUAUCUCAAAAACGAUUUAUGAUUAUUGCUUAAAACUUUACACACUUCUUUGUUAUAUUAAUCUAAAGAUCUGUAUACUUUUUGGUGAUGACUCAAAAUUUUAUUUUUGAGUUAUUGAGUAUUUUAAAAAAGGUGAAGGUUUUUUUUACAUGUCGCGCCGUAUCUCAAAAACAAUUUAUGAUUAUUGCUUGAAACUGUACACACUUCUUUGUUAUACUAAUUUAAAGAUCUGUAUACUUUUUGGUUUGAUUCAAAAUUUUAUUUUAGUGAUAUUUGUAAAAAAAAAAAACAGGGGGGGGGGGUGGCUUUCACAUGUCCCGCCAUGUCUCAAAAACAAUAAAUGGUUAUUGCUUAAAACUUCCUCAGAAACUAUUUAUGAUUAUUGCAUAAAACUUCCACACAAGACGUCGGGCGUAUCAUGCGCUCAUGGCGCAGCUGUUUAUUCUUGUUUGGUUUAU